UCAUCUUCGGGGGUAGAGCACUGUUUCGGCUAGGGGGUCAUCCCGACUUACCAACCCGAUGCAAACUACGAAUACCGAAGAAUGUUAUCACGGGAGACACACGGCGGGUGCUAACGUCCGUCGUGAAGAGGGAAACAACCCAGACCGCCAGCUAAGGUCCCAAAGUCAUGGUUAAGUGGGAAACGAUGUGGGAAGGCACAGACAGCCAGGAUGUUGGCUUAGAAGCAGCCAUCAUUUAAAGAAAGCGUAAUAGCUCACUGGUCGAGUCGGCCUGCGCGGAAGAUGUAACGGGGCUAAACCAUGCACCGAAGCUGCGGCAGCGACACUAUGUGUUGUUGGGUAGGGGAGCGUUCUGUAAGCCUGCGAAGGUGUGCUGUGAGGCAUGCUGGAGGUAUCAGAAGUGCGAAUGCUGACAUAAGUAACGAUAAAGCGGGUGAAAAGCCCGCUCGCCGGAAGACCAAGGGUUCCUGUCCAACGUUAAUCGGGGCAGGGUGAGUCGACCCCUAAGGCGAGGCCGAAAGGCGUAGUCGAUGGGAAACAGGUUAAUAUUCCUGUACUUGGUGUUACUGCGAAGGGGGGACGGAGAAGGCUAUGUUAGCCGGGCGACGGUUGUCCCGGUUUAAGCAUGUAGGCUGGUUAUCCAGGCAAAUCCGGAUAAUCAAGGCUGAGGUGUGAUGACGAGGCACUACGGUGCUGAAGUAACAAAUGCCCUGCUUCCAGGAAAAGCCUCUAAGCAUCAGGUAACAUCAAAUCGUACCCCAAACCGACACAGGUGGUCAGGUAGAGAAUACCAAGGCGCUUGAGAGAACUCGGGUGAAGGAACUAGGCAAAAUGGUGCCGUAACUUCGGGAGAAGGCACGCUGGUGUGUAGGUGAAGUCCCUGCGGAUGGAGCUGAGACCAGUCGAAGAUACCAGCUGGCUGCAACUGUUUAUUAAAAACACAGCACUGUGCAAACACGAAAGUGGACGUAUACGGUGUGACGCCUGCCCGGUGCCGGAAGGUUAAUUGAUGGGGUUAUCCGUAAGGAGAAGCUCUUGAUCGAAGCCCCGGUAAACGGCGGCCGUAACUAUAACGGUCCUAAGGUAGCGAAAUUCCUUGUCGGGUAAGUUCCGACCUGCACGAAUGGCGUAAUGAUGGCCAGGCUGUCUCCACCCGAGACUCAGUGAAAUUGAACUCGCUGUGAAGAUGCAGUGUACCCGCGGCAAGACGGAAAGACCCCGUGAACCUUUACUAUAGCUUGACACUGAACAUUGAGCCUUGAUGUGUAGGAUAGGUGGGAGGCUUUGAAGCGUGGACGCCAGUCUGCGUGGAGCCAACCUUGAAAUACCACCCUUUAAUGUUUGAUGUUCUAACGUUGGCCCCUUACCGGGGUUGCGGACAGUGUCUGGUGGGUAGUUUGACUGGGGCGGUCUCCUCCCAAAGCGUAACGGAGGAGCACGAAGGUUAGCUAAUCCUGGUCGGACAUCAGGAGGUUAGUGCAAUGGCAUAAGCUAGCUUGACUGCGAGCGUGACGGCGCGAGCAGGUGCGAAAGCAGGUCAUAGUGAUCCGGUGGUUCUGAAUGGAAGGGCCAUCGCUCAACGGAUAAAAGGUACUCCGGGGAUAACAGGCUGAUACCGCCCAAGAGUUCAUAUCGACGGCGGUGUUUGGCACCUCGAUGUCGGCUCAUCACAUCCUGGGGCUGAAGUAGGUCCCAAGGGUAUGGCUGUUCGCCAUUUAAAGUGGUACGCGAGCUGGGUUUAGAACGUCGUGAGACAGUUCGGUCCCUAUCUGCCGUGGGCGCUGGAGAAUUGAGGGGGGCUGCUCCUAGUACGAGAGGACCGGAGUGGACGCAUCACUGGUGUUCGGGUUGUCAUGCCAAUGGCACUGCCCGGUAGCUAAAUGCGGAAGAGAUAAGUGCUGAAAGCAUCUAAGCACGAAACUUGCCCCGAGAUGAGUUCUCCCUGAGACUUUAAGUCUCCUGAAGGAACGUU
rnacentral:rRNA from 1 species